UCAACCAACUUCUCGUUGUUUCGGUCACGUUGACAUCUUCGUUGUUGUAUUAUGCCUCCAUGUUUUACAAUGUAUUAGAGAAGUUAAUAACUUGGCAACAUGUAUCCACAAGCAAAGAAUAUCCAUCCUAGAAUUCUUGUGCUACCGCAAGCAGUCGCAUCAGUGUCAGUGCAAGCACCAACCGCUUCUAAAGAUAAACGCACACCCCCAGAUUCAGUAUUAGCUGCCCCACCAGUGCACAUAUGCAAAGGCUAUGACCGUUUCUACAAAACGGAACACAGAUGGCACAAAAGUGCAACAUACAAGGAGAAGGAUAGUGGAAGAGUUUACAGAUGCAUGCGAUGUGCCAAAUAUUUAGAUGAAAUGCAAUGUGCGGCAAGAGGAGUGAAGUUUGAAAACAAGGACAUGGUUACAGUAACAAACCCACACCACGAGUAUUGUAUCUUUAAUGUAGAUGAGGCACACCAAAGAACUGCAUUAGCAAAAGAGAGUGCUUGCAGUUCUGAUGAUCCAUACAGAACAUUUCUAAACGUUGGAAGUCGGAAAGCUGAAGAGCUGCUAGAAAUUGCUAGAAAAAGCUCACUGGAGGAAAUAAAAGAAAGCAUAAUUAGGCUUUAUCCUAGACAUAUUCGAGAUCUCUUAACAAUAUGUGGCUUCAAGCUAGCCAAAUUGGACCAACAAUAACAAUCAGCAAUUCAUCCCAUUCACCAGCUCGAAAUUCCACUUCAGCGAUUGUUAUGACAACCGAGUUCAAAGAACGAGGAGGGUGCAUUUUUUACAUCCAGUUGAACAGGUUGAAGAUUUUGAAGAUUCGGAUGCAGAUGAAGACACUGCAGCAGUUAUCCAUUUAACGUGUUGAUAUAGAAAAUGAAUAAGACACAGAAAGGACGACAAUCGAAAUAUCUAGGCAGAAUUGUCUCCAUGAUCUACUUCAGCUCUACACUGAUAAGGAAAUUGUCAAUAAAAACUUAGAAGUUAAAUUCAUAGGUGAACUAGGUAUCGAUGGUGGCGGGCUCACCAAAUAAUUAUUUAAUAUAUUUUUCAUAAAGUGUCAGGGUAUAUUUUUUCAAGGAGAGGACUGUUUAGUUCCGUACUUAGAAUUAAGCAAACGCUAUCACCAGGAUCACUUUAUCAUUAUUGGACCAUUUUGCAGCAUAUGCUGCUGUUAACGAAUACUCUUUAGGCAAAAAUGUAAAAAAUUACCCUCAUGUCAAUUGGCGAUCCAAACAAGGAUAUUGAUUCGGACGUUUUAUAGCAAGAACUCGGAAAUUACGCAUCGAAACGAUGCUGCAUUUUUUUAGUCGAAUCGGUUCCAUGAAAGACCAUCCUCUAAAGCAUUUUUAGAGCGAUUGAAAGUAAUUGCAAACGAGACAUUCGUGAAAUAACCAAGCAGGCUCAUUUUAAAGAUGCGACAAGGAGUGAUUCCUGAAAAACAUAGUAUUUUUUGGGAAAAGUGUGAUUUCAGAGUUCUUUCGGAAACGCAAACCCCUACAGCUGUCAAAGUACUGAAUUUUUUGCUGACAGAACCGAAUUUAAGUAAUGAAGAAAGUGAUGUGUAUCACUAUUUUGAAAUGUAUAUCCGAUGCCUGGAUACAGAGAAAUUAGAAACGUUGUUGUUUUUAAUCACAGAGUCGUUCCUUAUGCUAAAUUGUAUCUACGUAAAAUAUAAUGAUUCAAUGGGGUUAAGCCAAAGGACUUUAUUUAGUACAUGUAUGGAUAUUGUUACUUUCCCUAAAACGUACACAACGUUUGUUUAGAAAAUGAUGAAGCGAAAUUAUAUACCAAAUACUAACUCUCAGUUCUCAAAAGGUUUAAUUUAUUUUUAUUCACUUUUUUUUUAAUUCAAUAUCAUAAGAAGCAUGAGAUUAAGAGCAACACCGUCACUAAAUUUCAUGUAUCUUUUAAUGGUCGUUAUCAGACCCACUAUGUGUGUCUGAUUUACAAACUUAACUUUUAAAAUUAUCGACUUCAAAGACUUAAAAUUUAUAAAUUUUGAACAU